rnacentral:rRNA from 1 species
AGCCGACGAUCUGUAGCCGACCUGAGAGGGUGACCGGCCACACUGGGACUGAGACACGGCCCAGACUCCUACGGGAGGCAGCAGUAGGGAAUUUUCGGCAAUGGGCGCAAGCCUGACCGAGCAACGCCGCGUGAGUGAUUAAGGCCUUCGGGUUGUAAAGCUCUGUUGUAAGGGAAGAACAUUCAGGAUAGGAAAUGAUCUUGAACUGACGGUACCUUACCAGAAAGCCACGGCUAACUACGUGCCAGCAGCCGCGGUAAUACGUAGGUGGCAAGCGUUAUCCGGAAUUAUUGGGCGUAAAGGGUGCGUAGGCGGUUUAUUAAGUCUAUGGUGAAAGUGCGGGGCUCAACCCCGUAUGGCCAUAGAAACUGAUAGACUUGAGUGCAGGAGAGGGCAAUGGAAUUCCUAGUGUAGCGGUGAAAUGCGUAGAUAUUAGGAGGAACACCAGUGGCGAAGGCGACUUCCUGGCUUGUAACUGACACUGAGGCGCGAAAGCGUGGGGAUCAAACAGGAUUAGAUACCCUGGUAGUCCACGCCGUAAACGAUGAGUGCUAGGUGUCGGGGGUAUUCAGUGCUGCAGUUAACGCAAUAAGUAUUCCGCCUGGGGAGUAUGCACGCAAGUGUGAAACUCAAAGGAAUUGACGGGACCCCGCACAAGCGGUGGAUUAUGUUGUUUAAUUCGAAGCAACGCGAAGAACCUUACCAAGUCUUGACAUCCUCCUGGAAACUGGAGAGUGCCUCGCAAGAGGAGCCUGGUGACAGGUGCUGCAUGGCUGUCGUCAGCUCGUGUCGUGAGAUGUUGGGUUAAGUCCCGCAACGAGCGCAACCCUUAUCUUUAGUUGCCAUCAUUAAGUUGGGCACUCUAGAGAGACUGCCGGUGACAAACCGGAGGAAGGUGGGGAUGACGUCAAAUCAUCAUGCCCCUUAUGGCCUGGGCUACACACGUACUACAAUGGCGUAUACAAAGGGAUGCGAAAGGGCGACCUGGAGCAAAACUCACAAAGUACGUCUCAGUUCAGAUUGGAGUCUGCAACUCGACUCCAUGAAGGCGGAAUCGCUAGUAAUCGCGGAUCAGCAUGCCGCGGUGAAUACGUUCUCGGGGUUUGUACACACCGCCCGUCAAACCAUGAGAGUUGGUAAUACCCGAAGCCGGUGGCCUAACCUAGUAAUAGGAGGGAGCCGUCGAAGGUAGGAUCGAUGAUUAGGGUUAAGUCGUAACAAGGUAACCA